rnacentral:snoRNA from 1 species
UUUAAAUGAUGAAAGCAUACGCUUGGCAUCUGAAAAAUUUAUUUUGAAGAUAAAGUGUUAAACCAGUUAUCCCUAUCUGAUAUAAU